rnacentral:rRNA from 1 species
GAUGAACGCUGGCGGCGUGCCUAAUACAUGCAAGUCGAGCGAACAGACGAGGAGCUUGCUCCUCUGACGUUAGCGGCGGACGGGUGAGUAACACGUGGAUAACCUACCUAUCAGACUGGGAUAACUUCGGGAAACCGGCGCUAAUACCGGAUAAUAUAUUGAACCGCAUGGUUCAAUAGUGAAAGACGGUUUUGCUGUCACUUCUAGAUGGUUCCGCGCCGCAUUAGCUAGUUGGUAAGGUAACGGCUUACCAAGGCGACGAUGCGUAGCCGACCUGAGAGGGGGAUCGGCCACACUGGAACUGAGACACGGUCAAGACGCCUACGGGAGGCAGCAGUAGGGAAUGUGACGCAAUGGGCGAAAGCAUUACGGAGCAAAGCCGCGUGAGUGAUGAAGGUCUUCGGAUCGUAAAACUGUGUUAUUAGUGAAGAACAAAUGUGUAAGUAAAUAUGCACGUCGUGACGGUAACUAAUCAGAAAGCCACGGCUAACUACGUG